rnacentral:ncRNA from 1 species
UAAUUGAAUAUAUAAGAAACUUAUUUAUCUUGCUAAUGAUUGGGGCAAGGUCUCUACAAGAUGCCAAACAUCUAACAAUAAGUGAGUCUAAUGACUUU